CCCUUAGAUGUUCUGGGCCGCACGCGCGCUACACUGACUACUUCAACGAGUUGUUUCCUUGAUCGAAAGGUCUGGGUAAUCUUUGAAAGGUGGUCGUGAUGGGGAUAGAUCCUUGCAAUUUUUGAUCUUCAACGAGGAAUUCCUAGUAAACGCAAGUCAUCAGCUUGCAUUGAUUACGUCCCUGCCCUUUGUACACACCGCCCGUCGCACCUACCGAUUGAAUGGUCCGGUGAAUCUUUAGGACUGUGGCUGAGGCCUUGCCUUGUGCGGGUCUGGCCGUGGGAAUUUAGUUAAACCUUACCAUUUAGAGGAAGGUGAAGUCGUAACA
rnacentral:rRNA from 1 species